GUGAAGAGCAGAAGAAACUGUCAGGUUUGUUCCUGGACCAGGUGAACUGCAUGAUUCUGCUAUGCAGGCUAGGGAGGAGAAGAAAUGAGAAGAAACAUAGAUCAGAGGAGCUAGCGUGGGAAUGAUUUUGAGGAAGAACAGAUGGAAAGAAACUACAUAAGCGAGGUAGGAAGAAAAGAAAAGCAUCAGAGAAGUGCCAAGUCAAGGUAGAGAAAAGUUUGAAGACAGUGAUUAUGAAUCUGAACAAUUCCAGCAAAUUUUUACCAUGUUUGUAACAUGUUAGAUGUUUGGUGGAAUUGUUCAUAUUCAUAAUCAUUGGCUUCAAACUUUUCUCUACCUUGUCUUUGCCCUUCUCUGAUGCUUUCUUUUCUUCGUCUUUGCUCAUGUUCUUGAUUUGGAUGCAGAAUUAUGUGGUUCAUUCUGGUCAGGAACAAAUUAACUGGGGUUUCUUCCCUGGUUUCCCCUAAUUUACUUGAGAUGGAAGAUAGUUAAACAGAAACUUAUAAAAGGGUCUUCUGUGACUGCAAGUUGCUGAUCAUCAAGGAACCAGGAAGGCCAUCAUUGCCUCAGACUCAGUGUAGGGUUUCUAUAUUGUGAAGGAAAUUUCUGGUCUCAAGAAAGAACUUGACAGCUGCCUUUGAGAAUACAAUAGGAAGAUGAAUUUUGCUGCAGAUUUUAUGGUGAUGUUAAGACCAAGUCUAACUAUGCAUCUUCAGGACUUUGCUCAUGAGAGAUGAAAGAUAUGUGUUCUAGAGAAUGUUCAAAGCUGUAAUUGACAUGAGAGAAAAUUAUUUUUUUUCUUAAUAAAAUUCAUUGAUUUAUUCAGCUGUAAUGCCUGAUAAUGACUCUCCGAAACACCCAUGAUUCAGCUUCUGAUCUGUUGCUGAUCAUCUGCUUAUUAAAAAACACUUUAUUUCUCCCAUAUAAUUCCUAUUAAAUUUUGUAUAUAUAUAUAUAUAUAUAACAUCCCAAUCGUCCUCCACACCUGCUACAAGCAAACCAACCAUGUAACCAAUUGCAGACAAAUUAAAACCCAUGGGGCCACUGGCCAUGUGAAUAAUCUCCUUUUGAAAAUGUGCUAGUACACAGAUGGAGAUAGAAUUGUCACAUCCUUUCAGUUCAAUUUUGAAUUACAGGAAGAAAACUUGUUCUCAUCUUAUAAUUCCAAUCAAAUUUUUGUUUCAUUUUCUUGUCCCAACUGAUUUACAAAAACAAGUUCAUCUCCAUUUACUCAAAAUAUCCCCAACCUUCCUCCACACCAGCUACAAGCAAAGAGAC
rnacentral:lncRNA from 1 species